AUUUGUAAAGCAGAGAGCGGUUGACUAUAUUCCAGCCCUUCAAGGGAGAAACAUGGAAGACAGGUUCCAUUUGACUGUCUGAUAUCUUUGUAACUGCAGAAGCUGUCUGAAGGAACAACUUGAUUCAGCCCUUUCAUGUUACAGCACAGCAUGCUGCCAACGCGGGAUUCCUUUACAAUCCACUUGAACUUGAGGUCUCCACCCUGAAGAGAGUGUUCACUCAUGGAGCUGUGAAAAAAGAUGAACAGAAAUAGGAAACUCCAUUAUCCUUGAAAGGUCACGUGACUGCAGAAAGCCCAAUCUUGGUGAAAGAAGCAAUCCACAAGGACAAGCUGAGUGUGAGUUGAAAAAUGAAGUUGUUACCAGACAGCAAACUGUGGUCCACACUUCUUAUGAAUAUUUGAAUGAGUAACUAAAAACAGCUCAGUAAACUCUAAGCAACUGUGACAGCUGAAACUGCCUUGAAACCAGGAGUCCUCCAGGACCGUGAUGAAAAUAUCACCAGUUACCUUAUGCCUCAUCCUGCCAGGGGUCUGCAGAGGGACAGUAUCAGAUCUAUUUUACUCAAAUAGAAGUUAUAAAAAAUAUCUGAUUUAUCUUUGCACUUUCAGAAACCAAACAGUUUAAAAAUCUCUUGAGUUAUUUUGAAUUCAUUAAAAUGCAAUAAUUUUUUA